rnacentral:lncRNA from 1 species
AGAAAGUGAAAUAUUGUUUCUUACAUUGCGCAUUAUAUCCCGAAGAUUCUGAAAUUGAAAAGGAUAAACUAAUUGAGUGCUGGAUUGAUGAGGGAUUCAUAGAUGAUAUGGGUACAAGACAAGAAAUGAAAGGCAAGGGUCAUGUUAUUUUGAAGAAGUUGGAAGAUAAUUGCUUGUUGGAAAAUGUCUCGAGUGGAGAAAUGAAGAUGCAUGAUGCAGUGAGAGAUAUGGCAUUGUCGAUCACAAGAAUGAAUCCUCGAUAUAUGAUACAAGCAGGUUUUCAAUUAGAAGAGUUACCAGAAAAGGAGCAAUGGAACCCGGAUAUUGAGAAAGUGUCACUUAUGUAUAACUCCAUAUCAGAAAUUUGCAUAGAUGUGCUGCCCACAAAAUGUCAAUUUCUCACAACCUUGUUAUUGCAGCAUAACCCUAUAAAGAAGAUCUCAAUUUCUUUCUUCACAAACAUGCCUUGUCUUAGUGUUCUCAAUUUGGCUUUUACAAAGAUCGAGAGUUUACCAAAUUCCAUCUCUGAACUAAAGAACCUCACAACAUUGUUGCUUCGUGGCUGUUCGAAAUUAAGAGAUCUGCCAUGUCUUUCGAUGCUUCAAGAAUUGAAGAAGUUGGAUCUAAAUUGGACUAGAAUUGAGGAAGUACCUGAUGGCAUGGAUAUGCUGAUAAAGCUGAGAUAUCUUGAUCUUGGAGUGCACACUCUGAAAGAGAUACCCGCUGGACUUUUACCAAAACUCGUUCACCUUCAGCACUUGGGUUUUGAUGUGGACAAUGAAAGAACAAGUCUAAAAGCAGAGGAGAUGGAACCAUUGAAGAAGUUGGAGUGCUUAACCGGACGUUUCGAAGACAUCAAUGAAUUCAAUAAGUUCAUCUCCUCAAUGCAACAAAGUAAGAAAAAUCUCAUCAAGUACUCUUUACAGGUGGGCUCAUCUUUUAUCCCUCAUAGAAGAGAUAAAAGAGUAACAAUUGCAGGAGUCCAGAAUUGGGAAGGUGAGUUAAUUAUGCACUCAAUUGAAAUUCAAGAGUUGAAUAUUUUAAGUUGCGACUAUUUGAGAAACUUAGACGAUUGUAAUUCUUCCCUCAAAAAUGCGAUUGACUUGAGGAUUCGUGAAUGUGAAGGGAUAGAGUGUGUUGUUUCGUUGUCCUCUUUCGCCUCUUCUUUCGCUCAUCCAUGUCAGUGCCUCGAGAUGUUGUAUCUUCAAGAUCUGCCAAAGUUGAGUGCCCUUAUUAUGAAAGAUGAAGGAAUUGGUUCAGCAACAACAUCAACAUUGGUUCCGUCUGCCACCUUUUCCCAUCUUAAGGAAAUUACGAUAUACAGCUGCUCAAGUAUGAAGACGUUGCUUCCACAUUGGUUGCUUCCAAACCUCCAAAACUUGGAAAAAAUACACGUGGAGUAUUGUAGUCUGCUAGUAGAAAUAUUGGGAGCAGCAACAUCAGAAGUUGAAGAAAAUGGGAGUGAUGCAUUAAUCAAAUUCCAUCUUCCCAAAUUGAGAGAGUUGUCAUUCUUGGAUUUACCAAAUUUGAAGAGCAUAUGCAGCAAAAGUGGAGUGAUGGUUUGUAAUUUUUUCGAGUUAAUCGUUGUUGUUGAGUGUGAUAAAUUGAAGAGAAUUCCUCGAUUUGUUCCCCUUGUUGGCAAUGGGCAGCCAUUUGCAUAUGCUCCACCUUCUCUUACCAUCAGGUCAAGCACAGAAUGGUGGGAAUCGUUGGAGUGGGAUGACCAUCCAAACUUUAAAAAUGUUCUUCGCUUCAAACCCAUAGAAUAAUGAAAGGUAUAAAUCUAAUUGCUCCAUAUUAAUAAAAUUUGAAGUAUAUUUGUGAUGAUGAUGAAGAGAAAGAUAAAAGGGUUGGUGGGAAAGAAGGAUAGUGCAGAAGAGAGGAGAAAAGGAAUGAUGGAAGGAAGAGGUUAAGAGGCUCCACAUUGUAAACAUUGUCCCUCUCUUACCAUUCCUUCUUUUCUCUUUUUCUUAUGAUGUAAAAGCUGAAGAGGUAAAAAACAAAUAAUUUUGCUUCAUAUUUUGUCUAUGUUUGUUUUCCAAGAAUGAGUAUUGAAUAUAGAUAAUAUAGAGAAAUUUUGUAGGGUUUAAAAAUAAUUAUCCCUAAUUUUCUCACUUUUUUGUAUUUUUUUAAUUUUAUAAUGUUCUAAAAUUUUAAAAAUAUUUUUUAACAUUUUACCAUUUUAUAUAUUAUUAAAAUUAAAUUGACCGAAUAAUUAUAUCACUUAUUAUCAUUGAAUAAAACAAAACAUAGCUAAUAACCAUUGUUAAGUACCAGUUUCAGCUUUUAUGAAUUCUCAAUUCCUCCUUUUUUUUUUUUUUUUGAAGAUAAUCGAAUUCCAUUUAUGGUAUAUAUAUAAUUGUUAACAAGAAUAAAAAUGCAUAAUGCAUUUUAGGUUAUUGAGAGAAUUCCAUCUUCCCAAAUUCAGAGAAUUGAGACUAAGUUACCAAAUUUAGGUUAAAGUAUUCGAGAGGUUCAUGUAAUAUAAGGAUUGUAUUAAGUUAGUCUUUUUAUUAUUAAAUAGAUCAAUUUUGUUCUUAUACUAUUAAAAAAAUUAAAUAAGUCCAAAUCAUAAUGAAAUUAACAUUUAAUAAUGUAUAAAAAAUGUCUUGACAAACAAAAAGAUUUCAUUUACUUCAUCAUAAAAACUUUAAAAAUAUUAACUUUAUUAAACAUUAAAUGUUAACUCUAUUUCAAUUUGACCAUAUUUAAUUUUUUACAACAAUAUUAAAUUGAUCCACCUAAUAGUAAAAAAAUAUAAUCAAAUCCCUAUAAUAAAAACACGUCUCGAAUACAUUCACCCUUCAAUUAAACUAUUCAUCAUGAUACCUUAACAUCAUUAUCCGGCUCAAUUGCUUCACCAAAAUUUGUUAAUCCCAACAUUUUAUUUUCACUUAAGUAUCACUAUCCGAGAAGUAUUUGAACAUGAUCAUAAAAAUGCAAUCCUUUAAAUAAAUUUAAAAAAUACUUAUGCUCAACUCGAUAAAAAAAUUUUUAAAUUCUGAUAAUUUAAACGAAUUAAUUUUAAAUGUAAAGAUGCUAGCAAAGGAGAGAGUUCCAUGAGAUAGAUAGCUUAUAAUUUUGUUUAUAGUCGAUUGAGUCUUAAUUCAAUUGGCAUGAGUAUUAUUACCAGUACAAGAGAAUGUGGGUUCGAGUUCGCUGAAGAGCAGGUUUGAGUUCGCUGAAGAGCAUCAUCUUCCUAUUUAUGGGUUAUAAGUAAUUCUAAAUAUUGUCUCAAAAAGAGCAUAUAUAAUCAAAAUCUAUAAUAAAAUUAUUAAAAAACAAAAACUAUGUCUAUUAGAUAUUUAUAUUCAAAAUCGAAUAACACGGGUAACAUAAAGUUUUAUAUAUAGCAAGAAGAAGCUUUUUUUUUUUAAAUCAAGUCAUGGAUUCUGGGAUUGUUUGGCUUCAAGAGAUUUCUCAUAUUCUUCAAUGGAUUUGAAGAGCUCAGAAAAGUUGCCUUUCCCAAAACCACCACAUCCACCUUUUUGGUAUUGCUUUCCUUCUUCAUCCUUCACCAUGCACCCAAUUCCUUGUAUUAUCUCUAUGAAGAUGGUUGGACUCAAAAUAAAAGGUUCCCACUUUAGUUAACCAAACAAGAAAUAAUAUACAUAUAUGCCGAAGAGAAGUUUGAUUGAAUGACAAGGUUGAAGCUUUGAAAACUUUACAACAUAUGUAAAUGUAUGCGUGGUCAUCUAGAUUUAUUGUUGAUUGGUUAGUUUGUUAAGUUAAAUUAGUAGUCAAUUCUCAUUCCAUUAUAUGAAAUAUUGUUGAUAGGUUAGUUUGUUAAAUAUAUAGUGCAUGCUUGUAGUAAGCUAGUAGAAAUAUUGGGAGCAGCAACAAAAAUAAAUUUUGUGAUGUUGGUGAAGAGAAAGAUAAAAGUGUGGGUGGGAAAGAAGUAGGGGCCGGGGGAGGAUAGUGCAGAAGAGAGGAGAAAAGGAAUGAUGGAAGGAAGAGGUUAAGAGGCUCCACAUUGUAAACAUUGUCCCACUCUUACCAUUCCUUCUACUCUCUUUUUCUUAUAAUGUAAAAGCUGAAGAGGUAAAAAACAAAUAAAUUUGCUUCAUAAUUUUUCUAUGUUUGUUUUGAAAGAAUGAGUAUUGAAUAUAGAUAAUAUAGAGAAAUUUGGUAGGGUUUAAAAAUAUAAUAUAAUUUAAAUAUCAAUUAUUCAAAAUAAUGGUAUUUUAGAUAGCAAAGGUAUUGAAAAUUUAAAGUGAUAAAUUACCUUUUUAUCAUUAUAAAUAAAUACCAUAAUUUCUUUUUAAAUAAAAUAAAUAAAUAUCAUUAUUUCUUCUUUCAACAAUCAUUCUAUUCUAAAAUAAAUAAAAAUAAAAAUGAAACCAGUAACCCCAAAUAAAGUAUUAAUGAUAGUUUUAAAUAAAAUAACUUGAAAAAAUUUUAAAAAGUAAGACUUGAUGAAACACUAAAUAUAAAUUCCUUAGUCAUUUAAAAAGUAAGCUUUGGAGGUCUUAAAAAAAGGGCAAAUUACCAAAAAAGCCCUUUUUUAAAAUUUACUGAAAUGGGCCCGAUAUUUUAUUAUUUAUCGGAAUGGGCCAUUUUCCCCGAAUUCGGGUCCACGUCAGCGCGAUGUCAAGGGACGUGUCAGAACAUCGCGUCCACAUCAGCACGCUUUACUUACGUGGACACAAAUCGUGCCUACGAGGACGCGAUUUGCUGACGUGGAUGAACAGUUUAUGUUUUUUAGCUUGGAAAACUUUGAAAGGCCAUAAUUUUUCGCUCGGUUGUCCGAUUGAGACGAUUUUUUUAUUUCGAAUAACUUUUCGAGAUCUACGCGCUGACAAACAGCCGAAGGUGGUUUGCCGCAUUUUUCGUCAAAAAAGAUCCUUUUUUGCCCCUAAAUUUUGAUUUUUUUGGUUUAAAAUUAAAUUUUGAAACAUUCAAAUCAUUAUUUUCCUUAUUUAUUUGAAGUAACACCGGAUUUUUUUAUAGAAUUGUUGUAGUAUUUUUUCUGAUUUGACACGUGUAUGGAAUAGGUUCGAUAAAUCGUUAGAACGUAAGUAAUAUAAUUAAGAUAAUAACAGUUUUUCUAUAAUAUGUCAAUUAAUUAGUUUAGUUUAGUUGGUUAAGAUGCUUGCUCUUUUCCCUUAGUACCUUGGUUCAAAUCUUGUUACCAAAAAAGAUUCAAAAUUGUUACCAAAAAAAUCCAGUAUUUACUAAAACAAAAUUAAUCGGGGAAUAAUGUAAAUAAAACAAAAUAAGGGCCAAUGUGCAAUGCGCGAAUGACAUGGAGGGUUAAUUUGGAAAUAUUCCCAACCCUCCAGAACGCUGUGUUGCAACAUGGACUAAAAUAAAACGAAAAACGAAUUAAAGGGCGAAAUUUAAAAAAAGAAAAGAACUUAUUUGAACACGCCACUAAAGAGAGAGGACCACUUGCGCAAAUUUACCCCUGGGACAAAACACGUGGAUCCUCCCCUCGGGUUGGGUCACACGGGUCACUGAUUGGUGUGGCAGUAUAUGACGUUGUUUUGGGGCUACUGAAGUAGGCCCUAAACGACGUCGUUUUUAUUACCUUAUAAAAUCCCCCAAAUUAAACCCUAAUCAGAAUUUUCGCCACGUUUACAGAAAAUAAAACCAAAAAAAAAAAAUAAAACCCUAGGUUUUUUUCUCUCUGCCGCUUUGGAAAUUCAGGCCGUUUUGAGGCUUCUCGAACCUCGCAAGGGCUCCGAUCGUGACGGAGUAGGCAGAGAUUCAACACUUCAGGUAAUUUCUAUUUUCUAAUUGAUUUUAUUUUACACACAACGAAUAAACAAUAAUAAUAAAAAGAAACAGAGAAAUUGAAAGAGAAAAGAAAAUCACCUUAAAAACUCACUGCUAUAAUUUUUUAUUGAUUUUUAAUCGAUUUUCGUAUCCCCCUUUACAAAUCCAUGUUUGGCUUUAUAUAGCCAAAAAGAAAAAUCAAAAUCCCUCUUUUUCUAUUUUUUUAUGUUUUUAUCUCCCCUUACAAUUUUCGCUGUAAAUCUGUUAUUUUCUUUGUUGUAAGUUCGUUUCUUCUUUUUGCUGCUUUGGUUUAUCGUUUGUUGCAGGGAGAAUGUGCAUAGUGUGAAGGCGACGUGCUGCGAUGUGCGGGAAGGCGUGCGAGGGAGCCUUGCUGAAUUACGGUGCUCCCUAGGGUUUCUGCCUCCUUUGUUGCUGAAAACAUGUUGUGGGCGUAUUGGGCUAGGGUUUUUUGUAAUUUGGGAUGUUUGGAUUUGUAAUUAGGGCUGGACGCUUAUAGUUUUAAUUUAUUUUAAUUUGGUGUUGGGCCUGGGCUUAAAAUUGGGUAUUACAGUAUUAAUUUUAAAAUAUUGAAUUAAUUAUCACUAUAGUUUAGGGUAUAUGGUUUAGAGUUUAAGGCUUAUGAGUUAUUAUUUUAAGGUUUAUGGAUUAUGGGUUUAAGGGUUAUGGUUUAUGGUUUAAAGGUUGGGAUUUAAAGUUUAGAGGAUAUGUGUUAAGGGUCUAGGAUUUUAUGGUUUAGGUUUAGGGUUUAGGUUUAAGGUUUAGAUUAACUAGUGUUUUCUAAUUUAUAUAUUAAUUAAUUUAUUAUAUAAUUGUAAAAGAGACAAUAUUAAUUUGGUUCUUCAAAAUCUUGUGAAGAUUUGGUUCUCCAAAAUCGUUUCAGUGUAUUUAAAACUGUUAAAGCUGCAUUAUUUUUGUUGAGGGAAUAAGAAAACAGAAAUACUAUUAUUGAGUUUUUAAAUAUUUUCAAAGAAUUUGAUAUUAAAUAGUUUCACAAUAUUUUAAUAAGUACAGGGUUAAUUUUCAUUUUUAUUCUGCUCUAGGGAUAUUGUUGUUAUUUAAAUUGUUGUUGUAUGAACUUAUCGGUUUGCAUCAUCUACACCAAUUUAAAUUUUGACUUUUUACUAGUAUAUUUUUUUUCUCUAAAUUGUUAAUGGUUGCUUUUAGUUUUUUUACUAGUAUUUUUUUCUCUUGCGUCAAUGCUAGUUGGUAGUUGUUACUUUGUAUUAAGAAGAAAGUAUUCUCACAUUGAAUUUGAAAAUGCAGUCGAGCCUUUUUUGACAAGAGGAUCUCACAGGAAGUCAAUGGUGAUGCCUUCGAUGAGGUAUGUUUCCAAGUUACCUUUAGCUUUUCGUUCACUGCCUCAAGUUUCUGCUGGUGCAUCUGGACUUCAUAACUGCAAUUUGCUCACCCCUUAAUUAUCCUUCAACAGGAGUUUAAGGGCUAUGUAUUCAAGAUCAUAGGAGGCUGUGAUAAAUAAGGUUUUCCAAUGAAGCAAGGAGUUCUCACUCCUGGAUGUGUUCGUCUUUUGCUUCACAGAGGUCUGUGGACUCUGAAAUAUUUUUCCUUGUUCUUAUUUGUGUAGAAAUGUUUUUUUUUUGUUAAUUAAAUGUCUUCUUUUCUAAUCUUUGAAUAGGUACUCCCUGCUUCCGUGGAUAUGGUAGAAGAAACGGAGAGCGUAGGAGGAAGUCAGUUCGUGGAUGCAUUGUUAGUCAGGAUCUUUUAGUUUUGAACUUGGUUAUUGUGAAAAAGGGUGAAAAUGAUCUUCCUGGACUGACUGACACUGAGAAACUAUUGGAAAUUGGCCAACCAUGUUGCUGUUACAUUUUGUGGUUGAAGUGCAUGCAGCUUGAUGACAUGCUGCAGCACAUAUGCUUGCUGUAACAGCAAGGUUUCUCUUUAGUUUCAUUCUAAUUAAUCUAGUUUAAAAUGGACAAGUUGAUGACAACUUGAUGCAUUAGGUGUUGAAUGACUAGUUUAGGUGGCUUGUUUAUGUGUACAAGCAAUGUUUUAAUAGUCCCAAUGCUGAUUAGUGGGGUUAGUUGACUAUUUGGUGAUGUAUUUGACUAUAAAUGUAUGUUUCUUCUAGUUGAAUGAAUGAGCUGAAUGAGCUAUCAGCCAUUAGCUCCCUUGCUGUACAUUUGUGAGCAAGUAAAAAUGCUUCUUGCACCUUGUUUCAUGUUCUGUGCUCUUGUUCUCUCUUUUGUUGCUGCCUCUUGCACCAACAAUUGGUAUCGAGAGCUCUUGUCUUAGUGGACCUGUUGCUUCAAAACAAAGAACUUGAUGGCUUCUUCAGGAUUUUCACCAGCAGCCCCACCAGUCUUCAAUGGAGAAGGCUUUCACAUAUGGCUGGUCAAGAUGAAGACUUACCUACAGGCCUUCGAUCUGUGGGAAGUUGUCAACACAGAUACUGAGCCAGCACCACUGAGGGCUAAUCCCACAGUAGCUCAGAUUAGGCAACAUGCUGAUGAGAGGACCAAAAGGCACAAAGCCAUGUCCUGCAUCCAGAACUGUGUGUCAGAUGUCAUCUUCACCAGAAUUAUGGCCUGUGAGACUCCAAAACAGGCCUGGGAUAAGCUCAAGGAGGAGUUUCAAGGCACUGAGAGAACAAGGCAACAGCAACUGCUAAACUUGAGAAGGGAUUUCGAGAAUUUGAAGAUGAAGGAAGAAGAAACAGUGAAGCAGUACUCAGAUAGAAUUAUGGCAGUGGUUAACAGCAUAAGGCUCCUAGGUGAGCACUUUGAUGAGGCAAGAAUUGUGGAGAAAGUCCUCUCCACUUUGCCUGAGAGAUAUGAGGCCAAGAUAUCCUCUCUAGAGGACUCAAGAGACCUUGCUAGCAUCUCUUUGACUGAGCUAAUCAACACCUUUUAUGCUCAGGAACAAAGAAGAGCUAGCAGAGCUGAAGAUCACCAAGAAGGUGCAUUUCAAGCCAAGGCCAGAGAAACCUCGAGCACAAAUGCUCAAAGAGGCAAAAGGCCUUGGAAAAACAGGCCUAAGCUUGAUGCUGCAAGGAGCAAUGACCAGCCCUGUAGAUAUUGCAAGAAACCUGGCCAUCCAGAAGACAGAUGCUGGUUUAGGCCAGAUGCAGUAUGCCAACACUGCAAGAAGAAGGGCCAUGUUGAAAGAGUCUGCAAAAACAGAAGUAAGCCAAGGCAGAAUCAAUUUCAGCAGUCAAAGGUUGAAGCUCGAGUAGCUGAGGACAGUAGUGACCAAGAAGAACAGGUCUUUGCUGUUUCCUGUGUAGCUUCUGAGAAGAAAUGGUCUAAAGGCUGGUUGCUGGACAGUGGUUGCACUAACCACAUGUCACCAGAUGCCUCCUUGUUUAAAACCUUGGACAAAAGUUAUAAAACCAAGGUCAAGGUUGGAAAUGGUCAGUUUAUAAGGGCUGAAGGAAGAGGAGAAGUGUUGAUAUGUACUCCCACAGGCAACAAGAUCAUUCCAAAUGUGCUGUUGGUACCACAGAUUGACAGAAACCUUCUCAGCAUAGCUCAACUGCUCGAGAAAGGUUAUUCUGUUGUGUUCAAGGAUAAACAAUGCCAUAUUACUGAUCCAAGUGGAUCAAGCCUUAUGACAGUCACAAUGACUGAUAAAUGCUUUGAGGUUCACUGGGCAAAUGACUCAAACUCAGCAUACACAGCCUCUGUUGAAGACUCCAAGCUUUGGCAUCAAAGGCUUGGACAUGCCAACUUCAGAUCAAUGGCUCGAUUGGCCAAAGAGGGCUUGGCAGAGAACUUCAUCAGCUCAGUGGAGCAUGAUGAUGUGUGUGAAGUUUGCCAAAUGGGGAAACAGGCAAGACUACCAUUUCCUACAAAUUCAACCUGGAGAGCUACUGAAAGACUGCAGCUGGUGCACUCUGAUGUAUGUGGCCCGAUGAGGACUGAAUCACUCAGCAAAAACAGGUAUUUCAUCCUCUUUAUUGAUGACCUUACAAGGUUUUGCUGGAUUUUCUUUUUAAAACACAAGUCUGAGGUAGCUCAAGUGUUUGUGAAGUUUAAAAAUGCUGUAGAAACAGAAACAGGUUGCAAGCUGAAAUCGAUAAGGACUGAUAAUGGCACUGAGUACACUUCAGCUCAGUUUCAAGCCAUUUGCAAUGAUGCUGGUAUCAAACAUCAGCUUACAAAUGUCUACACACCUCAGCAGAAUGGGGUAGCUGAAAGAAAGAAUAGAAGUCUGAUGGAUAUGGCCAGAUGUCUGCUGUUUGAGAAGAAACUGCCCAAGACCAUGUGGGCUGAGGCAGUAAACACUGCUGUUUACCUUCAGAACAGGCUUCCUACUAAAGCUCUUGCAUCCGAGACACCUUUCGAGGCUUGGUCUGGUUUCAAACCUUCCUUGGCACAUCUGAAGGUGUUUGGUUGCCUGUGUUAUGCACAAAUACCAGCAGCAAAGAGAGACAAGCUCUCUAAAAGGGCUCAACCAGGUGUUCUAGUAGGCUACAGCUCAGUCAAGAAGGGCUACAGGGUCCUGGAUCCCUUGAUAAACAAAGUCCAAGUGAGCAGAGAUGUCAUCUUUGAUGAAAAAGCCUGCUGGAAUUGGGAGAAAAAUGAGCCAGAAGCAGUUUCAGAAGACCUAGUGCCUAAUCAAGCUGAACUUGAGCAGCUAGAACCUGAAAUGGAUGUUGAUGAUGUGCCUGUGAGAGGCACAAGGCCCCUAGAUGAUAUUUAUGAAAGGGCACAGGUUGCAAUAGCAGAACCUAGCAGUUUUGAAGAGGCUGAGGCAGAUGAAGGCUGGAAACUAGCUAUGGUCAAUGAAAUCAACAUGAUUGAAAAGAACCAGACAUGGGAGCUUGUUGAUAAACCUGCUGGAAAGAAGACCAUAGGAGUAAAAUGGGUCUAUCGAGUAAAACAGAAUGCAGAUGACAGUCUGAACAGGCUAAAAGCCAGGCUUGUUGUGAAAGGAUUUAGCCAAAGGUAUGGUCUGGACUACCUGGAGACAUUUGCACCAGUAGCCAGGCUUGACACAGUUAGAAUGAUAGUUGCCUUGGCUGCUCAACAUCAGUGGACCAUUUAUCAGCUUGAUGUUAAGUCUGCAUUUCUCAAUGGCUUCCUGGAAGAAGAGAUCUACAUCGAGCAGCCUCAAGGAUUUGUGAUCACUGGCAAAGAACACAUGGUGUACAGACUGAAAAAGGCUUUAUAUGGCCUGAAACAGGCUCCUCGAGCCUGGUAUGCUCGAAUUGACUCUUACUUGCUCAGUUUGGAAUUUGAGAGAAGUCCCAGUGAACCAACACUGUAUGUGAAGAAGAACCAAGCUCAAACUCAGCUUAUUCUGUCACUCUAUGUUGAUGAUCUACUGAUAACUGGAGGAGAUGGAAGAAUGCUGGAAGAUUUCAAAAGAAAAAUGAUGGAAAUGUUUGAAAUGUCUGAUUUAGGCAGAAUGAACUACUUCCUUGGAAUGGAAGUGAAUCAAACAGAAAAGGGAAUCUUUCUUUGUCAGAGUUCUUUUACUAUGAAGAUCCUGGACAAGUUCUCUAUGAAGAACUGCAAGCCAACAAGCACACCAAUGGCUGUUGGAGUGAAGCUUUCGAGGCAAGGGAGUGGUGAACCAAUUUGUGAGACCAUGUACAAGAGUCUCAUUGGUAGACUGUUGUAUUUGACUGCCACAAGGCCCGAUAUCAUGUUUGCUGUUAGUAUGCUAUCAAGAUACAUGAAUUGCUGCAAUGAUUAGCACUUUCGAGCAGCUAAAAGAGUGCUGAGAUACAUCAAAGGCACCAUUGGUCAUGGUGUAUUGUUCAAAAGGGCUGAAAACAUGAAGCUAAUAGGCUAUGUUGAUAGUGACUGGGCUGGAUCAAGUGAUGACAUGAGAAGCACAUCCGGAUAUGCAUUCAGUCUUGGCUCAGGCAUGUUUUGCUGGAGUUCUAAGAAACAAAGUCUGGUGGCACAAUCAACAGCAGAAGCUGAAUAUGUUGCUGCUGCAUCUGCUGUGAACCAAGCCAUAUGGCUUAGAAAAAUCUUGACUGAUUUAAACCAAAACCAAAAGGAGGCAACAGAGAUUUAUUGUGACAACAAAUCUGCUGUUGCAAUUGCAAAAAAUCCCAUUUUUCAUGGCAGAACCAAGCACUUCAAUAUUAAGUUGCAUGUUAUAAGGGAGAUGGAACAAGCUCAUGAAAUCGAGCUGAUUCACUGCAACUCAGAAGUGCAAAUUGCUGAUAUCUUCACAAAGGCACUCAAUGUGUCUAAAUUUGUUAAAUUCAAAAGGGAAUUAGGUGUUACUAGCAUGGAAACUAAGGAGGAGUGUUAAGUUUAGUUCCCAUGUAAAGGUGGCCAUGCACGACAUGCAAAGGUGGUCAUGCUUCUGGAUUCGCAGCAAGCAGUGGUGCCAUGGUGUGCAGCAACUGAAGUUUGAAGCUGCCAAUCUAUUUGCUGUUUUUAGUUCCAUUUUGAUUGUUUUUGUAAUCUAGUUCAUGUUGAACUAAGUAGGUAAAUGUUUUGAUUUUGAUUGACUGAAAAGUCAGCAAUGCAAGUUGUACAAGCUAAUCUUGUAAGUUUCAAUGCAAAUUAGUGGAGUUAGGUAGUUGAUUAGGUGAUUACUUGUUUGAUUUACUAGUUGACUGAUAUAUGUAAUGGCUUAAUGCCUUGUUGACAAUGUUAAUGAAAGUUAUCAGCUCAUUUUCAUUCAAUCUUUUUCUCUCUUUCUAUGUUUUCACUUGCUAGCUUCAUCUUUCUGUUUUUCUGCUUCCGAGUUUGCUUCUUCACCAAGCCUCGAGGCUUACUACUCAAGCAAGACUUGAAACAGCUUGCUGCUGCCUCUUGCACCAACAAUUGGUAUCAUGAGCCUAUGUCUUACGGGACCAUUGAUUUUGCUUCCCCUACUUGUUGAAAAGAAAGAAGCUGUCAAAGCACAAGCAAGUCAUUAAGGACUGCUUGUAGAGAAGAUAAUAUCGGCUCAAACUUAUAAGAUCCCCAAACUAGCUUGAAUAAGCUGAAGGAGGAGUUUAAAGGAAAGGUGUGAGCUUUCCAAAUGUGCAAGCUUAGCAAGAUGUCAAAGCUGCAAGCUUAGCAAAGUGCGAGCCUGAUGAAGACACCUGUUGAAGACAAUAUGCAAAGAUGUGAGUCUGUCAAAGGUGUGAGCUCAGCAACAUGUGGAAGCUCAAUGCGUGUUGUAUAGUUGCAAGCCUCUUGAAGACAGUAAGCAAAGUGUGAGCCUGUCGAAUUGCAAGCCAAAAUGGCAGAAUGAAGGCAAGCAACUAUACUCACGAACUGUUUGUGCAAGAAGAAAAUGAAUUGGUCAGCUUGAAUCAAAGCAUCUAAGAGCUGCCAAGUUCAAAAAACUUGAUGAAUGACUGGUAUUUGCAGCAUGGAGUCCAAGGAGGAGUAUUGGAAAUUGGCCAACCAUGCUGCUGUUACAUUUUGUGGUUGAAGUGCAUGCAGCUUGAUGACAUGCUGCAGCACAUAUGCUUGCUGUAACAACAAGGUUUCUCUUUAGUUUCAUUCUAAUUAAUCUAGUUUAAAAUGGACAAGUUGAUGACAACUUGAUGCAUUAGGUGUUGAAUGACUAGUUUAGGUGGCUUGUUUAUGUGUACAAGCAAUGUUUUAAUAGUCCCAAUGCUGAUUAGUGGGGUUAGUUGACUAUUUGGUGAUGUAUUUGACUAUAAAUGUAUGUUUCUUCUAGUUGAAUGAAUGAGCUGAAUGAGCUAUCAGCCAUUAGCUCCCUUGCUGCACAUUUGUGAGCAAGUAAAAAUGCUUCUUGCACCUUGCUUCAUGUUCUGUGCUCUUGUUCUCUCUUUUGUUGCUGCCUCUUGCACCAACAGAAACCAAGAAUAAGGGGUCCGAAGAGAGCAUCAAAAAUCAGGAAGUUGUUCAACCUGUCUAAGGAGGAUGGUGUUCGGAAGUAUGUUUAUUAAGCUGUGAGUUUAUUAAGCUGCUUUUAUGAUAAAAUUCAAUGCAUUUUCUGAGAGCCAUUUGUUCUUUCUUUGGUACAAAGUUUGCAACAAUUCUAAGCUACAAUUUUUGUUAAGCUUAUCAUGGAUUUCGUUAUUUGCAUUUCAUGGUAGCUCUUUUCUUCUUUGUUUGAUGCUUCACAUCUGUUUUGAACAUUUUCAGGAUGCAGUUGAUAACAGGAAUGCUGCAGUAAAUUCUAGGAAGCCAGAAGUUAAAAAUGAUGUAGAAAAAGAGAUGUCUGUGAAGCAUCUGACAAGGAAGAAAAGAGUCAUUUGUGAAUUGCAAAUUCAACAGGUUAACCCCAAACUUGUUGGCCAUUCAAAGAAGAAAUCCAAUCACUUUCGUGCUCGUAGCUGUAAAGCAGCAAUUGAGGGGUAUAGCCAGCUUUCUCUGCCAAAGAAGUUUGUACCCUUCAAUCUAAUAAUUGCUCAUUUAGUAACCAUGUGAUUUGUAUUUAUAUAUGCAAAGCUACAUGACUUGUUUUUAUCGAGUGAUAAGUUCAGUGGGACUAAUAAGCACCAGUUACUUUAAAUUUUCAUGAACCCAUGGUAUCAUAAUAAAGCGUACAUUCUGGAAAUGCUUAAAUGUGUACUAUUGAGUAUAUAUUCAGCGGCUUUGAUCACUGAACCUUAACAAAUUCAAUAUCUGAGACUUGUUAUGUAGCAUAGAAGAAUUGGAUGAUAGAAUUUGCGGUAGUCUAGUCUGGUCUGUUAUAAGAUCAAAAUCUGCAAUUAGAAUGAAACUCAAGGAAAAUUUUAUCAUAGAAUCUAACCUAUGAUUAAGAAGAAAAAUCAAGGUAAAAGCUUGUGGUUUUUUUGUCUUUCCGUUCCUUCUCUAUCCACUGUACGGGUUUCAGAAAAAGAGCUUCGCUCGCUCUUGCUAUUAAAGUCGGGUUAGUUUCAUCUUUGAUCUUCUAAUUUUCCUUCUUUGAUUCGUGUUUUUUUGUGUUAAAGUGCCUACAAUUUUGUUUGUUUUUGGAGAAAUCUGGGAUUAUUGUUGUAUUUUCUGAAACUGAUCUAUUAUUGAUGGAAGUCAACCCCUACAGUUGUUGGUGAUAAACACAUAAAUUUGAAUGUUGAUAAAUUAUUGAAUUAUUAAUUUCUGUUAAUUUAUUGCAUAUAAUCAUUGAAUUGUUUAUUUUUACUAAUUAAUUAUAUAUAAAUAAUUAGAUAGUUGAUUUUCGAGCAAUAUUCUUUGAUUGGCUCAUUUUUUGUAUGACAAUGUAAAGAGAUUAAUAAUUGUACUUUUUUUUUUAAAAAUGUCCCCUGACCAACUAUAAAAUUAAAGUUAAUCAAUUGAAAUAGAUGUAGAUCAUAAGCUAUUCAAGCUGCUGCAAUGAGUAGUAUGUUUAGUUUACUAGAGUUUCUUUGGACUUUGGUUUGAUUCAAUUAUCAAAUUUUUCGCUCAGCAUUUGAUUGGUCAGGACUCGAGUUUUCAAAGUUCCCCAAUCAUUUUCUUCCUUUUUUUUCAGAAUCAGAUUUGCUUUUUUGCUUGAAUCUUGACUUUAUAGUCAAUUUGGUGGGUCGGGUUUCUUGAAGCUUUAAGGUUGUAUGGUCGUGGCUAGCGCCAAAUAGAAGGUAAGUGCACAAUGAGUUGAACUGAUUUACUUAUCUUUGCCAUGUUCACUAUGGUUUGAACAAUUUAAGUUACUCUUAUUUUCAUGCAGAGCAUGUAGGCACUAAAUCUGCAGUUCAAAUUCGAAGCCAUGCUCAAAAGUUUUUCUCUAAGGCUCAUUGCUUUGAGUUCAUUACAAGAUUUCCUUGAUUAAGUAAAUGUAUUAUAUCUUUUAUUACCAAGAUUUACUUGAUUAAGAAAAUGCAUUGUAUGUUUUAUUACCUUGCAUAUGUAUUAUUUAUUUUAGUUUUGAUUCUAAAUUUUUAUUUUUACUUUAAUAUUUACGCUAACUUAGAGUUCUAACUUUUGAAUUUUAAUUGUGUUAUUAAUUUAUUAUUUUAAAUUCUAAAUUUAAAUUCAUUCUUUUUUAUAUUUAGUUUUAAAGUCAGAAUAUUUGUAGUAAAUUUAAUUUAAAUAAUAUUUUUUAUUUAUCCUUAAAACAUAAUAUAAUAUUUAUCAUAGAAAUAAAUAUUAUUUGAUAAAAAUGAUUUUUUUUAAAGAUAUGUUUUUAGCGGCGUUUGUGUGAAAAGCGUCGCUAAAGGUCUAUCCAUGUUCUUUAGCAGUGAUUGUGGUAAAGCACCACUAAAAGUCAUGAUCUAUAGUGGCACUUAUAAUAAAAACGUCGCUAAAGGUCAUGUUCUUUAGUGGCGUUUGUGGUAAAAUGCCGCUAAAGGUCAUGCUCUUUAGCGGCGUUUUUGUCAAAAGUCCCGCUAAAGGUCAUGUUCUUUAGCAGCAUUUUUUCAUAUAAACGCCACUAAAACUAGCGACGUUACAAGCACCGCUAAAAGUCUGUUUUGCUGUAGUGGUCUCGAUUCCUUCUUAAUGCUACAUCGGUUUGAAGAUCUACGUUAAUAGUCGAUCAACAAUAAUGAAUGUCACUAACCAAGCUAAGAGGGUUCGAUCAAGGGGUGAGAAAUAAUGAUGACAAGAUGAGACUUAGAUGGGGCAGCAAUGCAGAAAUUAUGAAGGCAACAAAAACUUCAAUGUGCAACAACAGGAGAAGGAGAAAUGGACAUCAAUGGAAAAUCAAAAAUGGCAGAAACUUCUAAACAAAAUAUUGAUAUUAAAAAGGCAAUGAUUCAGCCAAAUAAAUUGGAGAAGUGAUAGGCAAAGGGGCAGCACAAAUAGAAAAUAAAACUUGUGUUUUAGGUUGCAAUAAUGGUGGGUUAUGAGAGAAAAUUGAAGAAUAAUGGAGAGGAAAAAUGAAGGGGACGACAAUAGCUUGAGAAAAAUAAAUAAAAUAGGCUAAACAUAAAAUAAAAUGCAAUUUAUACCUAGGUUAAAAAGGGCUUGGAAGGCAACAAGAUUUUAAGGAGCAGAAACGUUGAAAAAAUAAAAAUUUACAAGGGAAAGGAAUCAAACUCAAGUCUUAAGGUCAAUUUCACUAACUCUUUACCACUAGGCCAAUUAAUCAUUCUAGGCCAAUUAAUCAUUCUUUUCAUAAACGCUCAAACAAAACCUUAAAAAUUAGGGCAAGACAACUCUCAGUUCACUAAAUCGAUUUCUUCUGACACAAUUUUUGGGACAUGACAAAACUAUUAGUAAGUUUAUGUUUAGUUUUAGUUACUUAACUUCAAAAGGUUACAAAAUGGUCAAUAAACUAUUCAAAAGUUUUCAUUUAAGUCAUUGGUUUGUUAAGGUUUUUUUUUAAGUUUGACUAAUGAGCUCCAAGCGAUGAUUCGACAAUUGAUGUAGUGAAUCUAUACCCAUUAAUGAGUGGAACAUAUCUUAGAUCCAAGUUAACAUUCCAUUUAGUGUAGGAGAUUGGAGAAAAAAAGUUGUUCGAAUUUUGGUUCACAGAUUUGUGACGUUCAAAACUGUUUCAUGAAUAUAAAUUAUGUUGUAAAAGAGAAUGGAUAUGUGAGCUUUCAGUUGAUACAAACGGUGCAAACAAAGGUCAUAUAGUAACAAUUUUAAAAGUCUGAUGACUUAAAUGAAAAUUUUUGUAUAGUUCAGUGAUCAUUUUAUAAUUUUAAUAAGCAUACUUACAUUUGUCUUUAGAAUUUGCAAAACAAAUAGAAAAUUCACUUUAAAUGUAUAAAAAUGAAUAAAGAAAACUCACCUUCAUUUCUGAUAGCAAAUAAUAAAUAUGAAAAAAAAAACUCUACCACUUUAAUAUUAACUCUACCACUUUUCCCUUAGAUAUGCAAUUGCAAUGGGUGAUUUUGGGAAACUAAACCAAAGGCCUAUCUUAAGGCUUGCUAAACUUCAUCAGAUACUAUAAAUCAACUGUACAAGGAAAGAUUUCUUAUGUGGAAUUAAUUAAUCAUCUAUAAGAAUUAACUCAACAUCUGUAGAAAAGAAAAUUAAAAUAUCUAAAUUUUUUUUCCCAAGAAACAAAUAGAAAAAAAUAAAUGGAAUAUAAGGGUUUUAAAGUUGAGGAAGGGAAAGAGUGGUGAAAAAAAUUGUUUACUGUUAGUGUCAAACAACAAAAAGAAAAUUGGGUUGAAGGAAGAAGAAGAAAAAGAAAGAAGGAAAAGAUAAGGAACAUCAAAAAAAUGUCGUAAAUUUAAAUGGGUUAAACUUAGGGAUCGGUUUAGUUGAUGGAAAAAAAAAAGUUCGAGACAAAAAAACAUAAAUAUCAAUUUGAGAGAAGUGGAUAAGUUCAGAUACUAAUUUAAUAUUUAAUUGUUAUAAAUAUUAUAGAUUAAGUUACUGGACCAGCAGUGGGCCUGACUUGCGAUUGGUAUGGAGGUGACCCACUUUGUUUGUCGAAAACCUACAUUUUCAGCUAUAGCAAGUCUCAACGGCACAACCAAGUCCAAACGUAUUAAAAUUAAAAUUUAAUAAUUUAAUAAUAUUUUUUCUCCCAAUAAAAUAAUAAAAUAAUAAAUACAUGUAUUAUCAUUCAAAAUGGAAGUAGGUAAUUGGAAAAAAAUAAGAGUGGGAACAUAUUUAUGAGAAAUGGGCAACCGCGUUUUGGGUUGGGUCCUAGACUUUUUCUUAAUUUGUUUGAACACUCCUAACAGGUAACAGCUCUUGAGGGGCCAAGCCAAUAGGCAUCGUGUUUGACCCAAUUCAAUUUCUGGCUUACAAAACUCAACCAAUUUUACUGAUUUAUGUAAAUUUACAAUCACUCAACUAAAUGAAGUUUUUUGGUUUAAUCAAUUUUUUAUAUGAUGAUCCAAGGCAUCGAAUUAGAGCCUUUGGUAAAAGUAAAGAAAAUUUCAAAGUAAAAAAUAAUUUUCAAGAAAUGGGGCCUUAAGAUGUGGACUGCAAAGCUGCGUAGGGGAUGGGAUAAUAAGGCAAAUUAGAGAGCAAAAGUUGGAAGCCCCUCAUUUUGGGCAUAUGUUUCAGCACUUAUCCAUUUUCAGACAAGGAAAUUAUUUAAUAAAGAAAAAGAAAAAUGCCCACCUUUGAGUUAUGAAAGACUGGGGUAGAUGGAAGUAAUUAUGAAAGAUUGGCUGGAAGGACGCGGAUUGGCAAGGACCACUUCACCCAUAUCUUCAUACUUGCUUGGUUAAUCAAUGGUUAAUAAUUAUUCCACCAUUUUAUUUUCGAGAUAUCUCAAUUAACUUUGUUAAAAGAAUAUCUACUUUGCUUGGUCGUUACAUUUCUUUAAGCGCGUUCUAUCUUCGUCCUUAAUAGCUCUUAUUUAUUCACAGUUUAAACCCCAGAUUCUGGUUCGAUUUUAGUAUCAUCCUUAGUCCAUUUAAUUUAUUUUUUUAUUAUUAUUUAUUUUAAAAACUCUUUUAUUAUUAUUUGUUUUAAGUUUUUUUAUUUAUCAUUUAUUGUAAACUGUUUUACAUGCUAUUUAUUUAAUUCUUUUAAUAUGUUAUUCAUUUUAAACCAUUAUAUUUAUAUAAUCUUUUAAAUUCCUAUAUAUGUAUUUUUUUUUAAAAAAAUGUUGUAUGUCUUUUAUUUAUUUGUUUUAAACUAUUAUUAUUCACUUUAAGUUUUUAUAUAAUGUUUAUUUGAAGCCUUUUAUUAUUUAUUUUUGAAUUGUUCUUGUAAAUUAUUUAUUUUAAAUUAUUAUUUGCUUUAAACUGUUUUGCAUAAUAUUUUGUUUUGUUUUCUUCGAUUGUUAAUGUUAGUAUUAAAAAUGAUAUACAUUGUGCGAUUAUUGCCGUCAUGUGUACUAUAAUUAGCUUCUUGGUGUUUUCAUAUUAUUGUCUUUCAUCAAUGUAACAUUUUAUUCAUAAAUCGUUAUUUCAUGUUAUACAUUAUCAUUCCAUUUCAUUUCAUCACUUCGAAAGUUGCAUUCAAUUUUUAUAUACCCAUAAUAAACCGUUCUAUUUUAUCACAAAUAAAACAAAUGCACCUCGUUCUAGUAUUGUACUCGCUAUGAUUCAAAAAAAGGGAAAAGUUUUUUAAUAAGGCAAUAUUUCACGCUUUGGAGAUUCAAGAAAUUGUACCCUAACUUACGGGGUUUCAAUUUUCUCGUUAAAUCUAAAUAGCAAAAUAUCUUUUUAAAUUUCAAGAUAUACGAGAUUUCAAUAAAAAUUAAAGGCAAGCUUUCUCUAAGGUUCCAAAUAUCGUGUCCUAACUUACGGGACAUGACAUUUCGUUACCUCGAGACAAGUGGGUCUUUAACUCUCUUUGCGAUUUAUUCAAGCGUUUUUUUAUUAACAUUAAUAAAAAAGGGAUCAUAUUUUAAAAUAUUUUUAAAAUUUUAACUUUCGACAUUAAGACAUUAAUUAAUCAACUAGGUACCAAUUUUGGGCAUAUCGAGGGUGCUAAUCAUUUCUCGUGCGUAACCGACUCCCGAACCCAUUUUCUGGAUUUUGUAGACUAAAAAUUACCGUUUUAGUAAAUUUAAACUUUUAUUAAAAUUAUUAAAUUAUAAGGUGAUCCGAUCACACCUAAAUAAAAAGGAUUGGUGGCGACUCCAUUUUUAUUUUUAAAUAAAAAGGUUACCCUUUUUUCAAAAAAAUGGUUUCGACUACCCUUAUGUCCGUUUUCGGAUCACAAGAAUUCUAUAAAUUAAAAAAAUAAUCUUACAUGAAGAUGAUAGUCCAUGGUCUAUUUCCUAAGAACCACAACAUUGACAAAGCAAACAAUUAGAUAACAAAUACAUAAUAUUGCAUUCAUUCCCAUAUAUACCACAAAAAUAUGUAUAAGAUCUAAAGAAUGUUACUUUCUAUGUAAUCAAAUCAUUCAAGAAGUGAAUUUUAUUUUGAUUAUCUGUUUAUACUUAUUGAUAGAGCAAAACUUGGUUAUGAUACUAAUUGUUCAAAAAUGAGUUUUUGAAAAUGCAGCAAAAAUCAAUAUAGGGAAAAGCCUAAGUUUAAAAAAAUUAUAAAAUAAGAAUUUAGUUAUAAUAUCUAGAGUAAUAAACACUUAAUAAAAAUUGUACCUUUUUGAUUCGUCUAUGAUGAAUGUUUCAUUGAGUAGUCUUUUCUAUUAUCCUCAAGCUCACGUUUGCCGAGUCACAAUAACAUUAAACAAGUGCAACAACUAAACCAAUGUUGAUAGCACUUAAAGGCAAUGGCUGAAGCAAACAACAAUUGAAAAAAAAAUGAAAGAAUCGAUGUUGCAAAUUUUUAAGAUUAGCACAAUGGCCACAAGGUAAUUGACGGCUAUAAUAAAGGGCUGAUCGACAAGUGCACAGCAGGCUAAAACAACAAGAAAUUGAAGCUAAUCAGCACCCAAAUAGCAGGUAGCACAUUUAGAUGGCAAACAGUACGAGGUUAAGCAACAAAAUUGAAGCAAAUUAAAUAGCAAGUCAGUAACAAAAGGAACCAGUAGCAGCUAAUUGGAAGUUGAUCGAUAAGUAUUUGGUAAAACAAUGUUAUUCGGCCAACAUGCAAAAUAGUACACAUGCAUACACCACUCACAAUUGAUUUGAAUCCCACACCUCAAUUACAAUCCAUAGAACAUUAACAAUUGACCUGAGCACCACUACAACUCGGAUUCGUCUGGAUUCCUUUUUAACGCUACACCGGUUUGAAGAUCUGCGUUAAUAGUCGAUCAACAUCAAUGAAUGUUCACUAACCAAGCUAAGAGGGUUCGGUCAAGGAGUGAGAAAUAAUGAUGACAAGAUGAGACUUAGAUGGGGCAGCAAUGCAAAAAUUAUGAGGGCAACAAAAACUUCAAUGUGUGACAACAGGAGAAGGAGAAAUGGACAUCAAUGGAGAAUAAAAAAUGACAGAAAAUUCUAAACAAAAUAUUGAUAUUAAAAAGGCAAGGAUUCAGCCAAAUAAAUUGGAGAAGUGAUAGGCAAAAGGGCAGCACAAACAGAAAAUAAAACUUGUGUUUUAGGUUGCAAUAAUGGUGGAUUAUGAGAGAAAAUUGGAGAAUAAUGAGAGGAAAAAUGAAGGGGAUGACAAUAGCUUGAGAAAAAUAAAUAAAAUAGGCUAAACAUAAAAUAAAAUGCAAUUUAUACCUAGGUUAAAAAGGGCUUGGAAGGCAACAAUAUUUUAGGGAGCAUAAACAUUGAAAAAAUAAAAAUUAGCAAGGGAAGGGAAUCAAACUCAAGUCUUAAGGUCAAUUUCACUAACUCUUUACCAGUAUGCCAAUUACUCAUUCUUUUCAUAAAUGCUCAAACAAAACCUUAAAAAUUAGGGCAAGACAACUCUCAGUUCACUAACCCGAUUUCUUCCGACUCAAUUCCUUCUGACCCAAUUUUUGGGACAUGACAAAACUAUUAGUAAGUUUAUGUUUCGUUUUAGUCACUUAACUUCAAAAUGUUACAAAAUGGUCAAUAAACUAUUUAAUUCAUUUAAGUCAUUGGUUUGUUAAAUUUUUUUUUAAGUUUGACUAAUGAGCUCUAAGCGAUGAUUUGACGAUUGAUGUAGUGAAUCUAUACCCAUUGACGAGUGAAACAUAUCUUAGAUCCAAGUUAACCUGCCAUUUAGUGUAGGAGAUUGGAGAAAAAAGUUGUUUGAAUUUUGGUUCACAGAUUUGUGACGUUCAAAACUGUUUCAUGAAUAUAAAUUAUGUUGUAAAAGAGAAGAGAAAUGUGAGCUUUCAAUUGAUACAAACGGUGCAAACAAAGGUCAUAUAGUAACAAUUUUAAAAGCCUGAUGACUUAAAUGAAAAUUUUUGUAUAAUUCAAUAAUCAUUUUAUAAUUUUUUGAAAUUAACUAAAAUGUAAACUUAUUAAUAACUCAAUAACCUUAAUUGCCAUUUACCCGUAAACUAUUGAGACCAUUCUAAAAAGUGAUGCAUUAAUUAUAUCUUUUAUCUUUUAUAUAUUGUUUCGAUUAAUACCUAAAUUAUUUGUACGAAAAAAAAAUCAAAAUGAAAUGCAACAUGUUCUGAACUUUUAUUAAAGCUCAUCUUUUUGUUGAAGAUACCCCAAUCCAUGAUUUCAACAUUGGAAUUUUUGAAAGUCCCAAGUAAUAGUAUGAAUUAUGAAAUUUCAAAAAAGCAUAUUCUUAUUUAUUGUUAAUUUCAAGCUAAUUUUAAUAGCUAUACUUACAUUUGUCUUUAGAAAAUAGAAAAUUCACUUUAAAUGUAUAAAAAUGAAUAAAGAAAACUCAUCUUCAUUUCUGACAGAAAAUAAGAAAUAUGAAAAAAAAAACUAAAAAAGAAAGACAUAUUUUCUUGAAAGACGCUUCAAAUGAAACAAAUAUGAAAAACAUAGUUGUAGGAGUGUUCAAUUACUUUAUUGAUCGUUAACCAAAUCAAAUUAGUAUUAACUAAAUCGAAAUUAUCAUGAAAAAGUGAAAAAGUCAUAAUUUAGGGGUGGUUGAUGCAAUUAACUCAUUUCUAAUGGUGCUAAUAAUUAAGUCUGCUAUAGGGAAAGCGAAGUUAAAAUAUGACCCAAAGACUCACCUUUUUCUAAGUCGUCUCCUAUCAAAAUUGCAAAAUAAAUGGAUAGCAGUAAACCAAAUACUUUGCUACUAAACCAAGAAAACCUUAAGAGUUCAUAUUUGUGAAGGUUUCUUAACAUUUUAGUGCAACCUUGAUUUUUAUUUUUAUUUAUUUCCUUUCCCUUAUAAAGAAGAAAAGACCUUCAACUUUUUUUCUUUUUUCUUCUUCAGUUUUGCUUACUUUCUUUUGCUCCCAAAAACCAAAAACAUAUCCCUUCAAAUCCCAUUUGAUCGUCUUGAAGUAGCAAGGAUCUUCUCAGCACCUAGUCUAGUUUGAUUUUGAAGUUCCCAAGUGAGGUCAAUGUAUUUAUGUAUCCUUAAUUUCUUUAUUUUUGAUUUUUUUAUAUAUAAAUUUGUUAUAUAUUUCUUCAUCUAAUAUUAUAUUUUUAUGUUUUGCUUGAACUAAAUCAGAGCAAAAUAGACUGUUUGGAUUUGCUCUUUUUUUUCACACUCAAAUUCUUGGAAUCAUUGCUUCAUUUUGAAGGGGUAAGUGGGUAUGUUUAUUAUGUUUUCCAUCAUUAUAUGCAUAAUAUUAAAUGGAUGGGGCCAUUACCAACAUCAAUAAUUUAGAUCCCGAUUUUGUAUAAAAUUAUUAAAAAAAACUCACAAUUAUUUAUAAAUAGAAAAAUGUAUAUAAAAAUUCUAGAAAAAUAAAAUCUUGAAUAUGUUGUUUCAUAACUAAAUUGUAUGAAAAAUAAAGAAAAUCAUCAUACAAUAACAUCCGAUAACAAAUUAAAAUAAAAACAAAACGAUUAUUAUAUGUUUCCUGAAUAUUUCUCGAAACCAAAUUAGUAGUAUUAUCAAGUUGAGUUUCAUGCCCUUGAAGAACAUCUAGAACUGAUAUUACAAAAACUUAUGAAAUUGACCUUGAUGCCAUAUUUUUAGUCAAAAUAAUACAAAAUAUACCAUAAAUUUUCUUUUCCAAACUCAAUUCGAAAUUUCAUUACAUUAGAAAUUAUAUUCAGAAUUUUAUCUUUUCUUAUAAAGUAAAAGCUAUGUCAAGUAACUGAAGAUGUAAAAAACAAAUGAAUUUGCUUAAUAUUUUUUCUAUGUUUGUUUUUAAAGAAUGAGUAUUGAAGUAAUAGAUAAUAUAGAGAAAUUUUCUUCCUUUUUUUCUGUGUCAGGACUCGGGUCUUUAAAGUUCCUCAAUCAUUUUCUUCUUUCUUUUCAGAAUCAGAUUUGCUUUUUUUGCUUGAAUCUUGACUUUAUAGUCAAUUUGGUGGGUAAGGUUUCUUGAAGCUUUAAGGUUGUAUGGUCGUGGCUAGCGCCAAAUAAAAGGUAAGUGCACAAUAAGUUUUUAUAAUUUUCUUUUUCAAACUCAAUUCAAAAUUCCAUUACAUUUUAUUUUUUUUUCAAAACCCAAAUUGUAAAAUGAAAAUAUAUUCAGAAUUUUAUCUUUUCUUAUAAUGUAAAAGCUUUGUCAAGUAAUUGAUGAGGUAAAAAAGCAUAGAGCAAAUAAAUUUGCUUCAUAGUUUUUUCUAUCUGUUUGUUUUAAAAUAAUGAGUGUUGAAUAUUUCAAUAUAGAUAAUAUAGAGAAAUUUUGCAGGGUUUAAAAAUAAUUAUCCCUAAUUUUCUCACUUUAUUUAUUUUUAAAAUUUUUAUUUUACUUUUAUUUAUUUUUUAAUUUUAUAAUGUUCCAAAAUUUUAAAAAUAAUUUCAACUUUUUAUCAUUUUAUAUAUUAUCAAAAUGAAAAUUCACCGAAAGUAUAAAAAUUUAGGACUAAAAUUUUUAUUAAAUCAUUUAAAAAGUUCCACUUAACAGUUGAGUGACAAAAAAAAAAUAAUUUCAACAGCAUUAGUGGUGAAAUUGUAACUUUUUUAAUUGAGUGAUUAAAAAAAUAUUAGCAAUAGUUUAGUGACUAAUAAUGUAACUUUUUUUUUGGUACAAUGAUAAUUCGAAAUUUGGCUAUUCCUAAAAAGGGUGAACAUCCGAUCAUAUUUAUUCACAUAUUACAAACAUCCAUAUGUAAGCAAUUCUCCCAAAUUGAAAUCAAAUUUUAAUAUCAACAACUUCAACAACUCAUAAAUAGGAAGAUAAUAUGUUUCGGUACACUUGAAACAAUAUCCUUCUACAUUGACAACAAUUACUAUGACAAUGAAGCUAAGACUCAAUUCACAAUACCUAUAUAUUUUUGUUAUACCUAAUACAAGUCAUUUACCAGUAUAUUAGACAUUCUUAUACCCUACUUUCCUAUACUUUCCCAUUAUUAUCUUGAUGAUGAUGAUGAUGGUCUUACAAUUCAGCACUAAGAUCACUGUAAUACUUGUUUUAAUUAGUAUAAUAAUAAUUUUAGUCUUUUUUUAUAUUUUCUAUCAAUUUGACUCUGAUUUUGUAUAAAAUUAUUUAAAAAAAACUCAAAAUUUUAAAAAUAGAAAAAUGUUUAUAAAAUUUCUAGAAAAAUAAAAUCCUGAAUAUGUUGUUGAAUAACUAAAUUGUACGAGAAAUAAAGCAAAUCACCAUUCAAUAAAAUCUGAUAACAAAUUGAAAACAGAACAAAACCAAAAAAAGCUUCAUCAAUGUUUCUUGAAACCAAAUUAGUAAUAUUAUCAAGUUGAGUUUCAUCCCCUUGAAGAACAACUAGAACUCAUAUUACCAAGGCUUAUGAAAUUGACGCUAAUGCUAUUUUUUAGUCAAGAUAUAUAACAAAAUUUCCUUUUUCAAACUUAAUUCAAUUUUUCAUUACAUUUAAAUUAUUUUUCAAAACUCAAAUUAUAAAAAUAAAUUAUAUUUAGAAAAAAAAUUUAUAACAUAAAAGCUAUGUCAAGGAACAGAGAACAAAUAAUUUUACUUAAUGUUUUUUCUACGUUUUUUACUAAAGAAUGUGUAUUGGAUACUUCGAUACAAAUAACAUAGAGAAAUUUUGUAGGGCCCAAAAAUAAUUAUCUCUCAUUUUCUCACUUUAUUUAUUUUUGAAAUUUUUAUCUAAUUUUAUUUAAUUUUUUAUUUUAUAAUGUUCUAAAAUUUUAAAAAUAAUUUUAAUUUUUUUACAUUUUAUAUAUUUUCAAGAUCAGAUUGACUGAAAGUAUAAAAUUUGAGGAUUAAAAUUGUUAUUAUAUCGAUUAAAAAAGUAUCACUUAACAUUUGAGUGACAAAAAAAAAACAAUUUCAAAAGCAUUAGUGAUGAAAUUGUAACUUUUUUAAUUAAGUGACCAAAACAAAAAUACCCAUAGUUUAGUGACUAAUAGUGUAGUCUUUUUUUGGUAAAAUGAAAAUUUGACCCUGAUUUUGUAUAAAAAAAACUCAAAAUUAUUUAUAAAAUAGAAAAAUGUAUAUUAUUCAACAUAGUGAUUUUUUACCCAAAUCAUAUAAAAAAUAAUUAAUUAUGAAAAUGGUAUGGAAAAUAAAUUAAUUACAAAAAUAAGGCAUUUGGUACAAUGUUUUGCUGGUGUUGCCUGACAUAUUGGUAGCACUAAAUUAAAAUGUGAUGACCUAAAAAUAUUCAAGGACUUAAUGUAACGCCCAAAAUUUUAAUUUUGGGUAUUGUGAUUGUGUAACAUAAAUAUCUAUCAACUUUAGUGGUUAUGUGUUCUGAAAGUCUUUGAGAGGUCCUAAGUUUAAGUCAAGAUUUGGGCAAAUUUUAAUAUGUAAAUUUCAAAAAUAUUCAAAGACUUGAUAUGUAAAUCUCUCAUUUUGAUUGGCUGUUGAAAAUAAACUCUAAAGAUGUUGUGUGACAGUGUGGUGGCACAAAAUCUUAAAUAGGCUCUAAAGAUUGUUUAUUAUUAUUUUUUAUCCCCUUCAACACCAAAAUUACAAAGGUUUCCUACCUAUUAAUCAAGUUCAAAUUAUGUAUAGCAUAACCGUUAACAUUGUUGAUAGUAAUUUUCUUUGGCUCAUAUAUAUAUAUAUAAUAAAAUUUUUCUAAAAUUUUUAUAAUUAUAAUUUAUACAAUACCGUAAAUUAAAUUGAUAAUAAGAAUAAUUAUAAUGCUAUCUGUAAUGGCAGACAGCAAAGAAAAAGGCUAAAAGAAACAGUAAUAAAAAUAGGAUUCCUUACUAAUAAUUCUGCCUCUGUGGAUCCUACCAGAGACUUCAUAAUUUCCCUGUUUUUAUCUUCACUUUCUUCUUACUUCUUCUUCACUGCUUUUAAUUUGUUUCGAUGUCCAAGGUCUAUCACCAAUUUUCAAGCAUCCAGUCAACGUAAUUUUCUUUCAUUUGCUUAAUUCAUCACAUGCUUUUCUUUGCUUUUGAUUAUCUGCUACUGUUAUGGCAGCUAGCUUUGUAAGAUUGUCAAGGAACUCAACUUCACUGCUUCCUUCUCAGUUCUAAUCUCUCAACACUUUUCAGCCACUAAGUCAGGUAAUAUGAUCUGAAGCAAUGAUUUCCUCUACUAAUUAUCAACAGUUUUAGAUUUUAAGAGUGGAUGACCAGCAGACAUAAUCUACUAUAGAUAGAAAUUAAUACAAAAACAGCUACCCAGAAGCAAUAUAAUGUUGAAAUCUCAAACUGUCAACAUUUUAACUCUUAAUAUUCUGUAAUGAACUCUUGCACACUUGAAUCUAGCAUUUUAUAUACAUCGAGAGCUUGAUUCUGGUGACCAGAACUUCAUCAUGUUUCUGUCUGCCACCCAUCCAUAGCUCCAUCUAAUAGACGCCAUUGCUUGAAACUUGCAUUCAUGUUUUCCUUUUCAUGCUUACACUGACAUAUCAAUACUUCAUAAAAUAUCCAAUUCAUUCACAGAUUUUCAUUCUCUGCUACUGUUAUAUAUGAUUGCAUUGCAGGGACAUAGCAAUGGAGUACGUAGAGCCUGUUGUCAGCAUUGCAAAUUGUCUCGGAAUUCCUGUUUGUGAAUAUUUACAAUAUCACAGAAAGCUGAACGAUUAUGUGAGAAAAUUCAAGACGAUCAGAGAUGAAUUGAAUUGCAAAAUGUUAGAUAUAGAGCUGCAAUUGAAUGCAGAGCUUCUUCGUCCUCUGGGGAAGAUACCGAAGAAGGGAGUUGAAAAUUGGUUGAAAGCUGUGAAAGAGAUGAUUAGGGAAGCACAAGUUGUUGAAAACAAAGUCAGUAACGGGAGAUAUUUCUGUCGUGCUUGCAACGGGAAGCUUGUUGAUGAAAAGACUCGAGAAAUGAAGGAAUUUCUUGAUAACGCUCCUAAUGCCUCUGAAGGUCUUGCCAUGGAUGGCCCAAGUGCUAGGUUGCUACUGCCAACAUCAGAACUAGUUGGAGAAGAUAUUGGUGUAAGACGCAGUAGCAAGCUGCUUUGCACUUGCUUGGACAACAAGUGUCGAGCCUUGCUGAAGAAACUAUCGAAGAAGAAGAAGAAGAAAGUUUUGCAAUGGAAAAACAG